AUAUCAGUCAUGCAUAGCAUAUCAAUAAGCGGAGGAAAAGAAACUAACAAGGAUUCCCCUUAGUAACGGCGAGUGAAGCGGGAAGAGCUCAAAUUUGAAAUCUUCAAGGGUUCUACCUUUACGAAUUGUAGUUUAUAGAAGUGUUUUCUGUUAGUAGAGUGGCAAAAGUUCUUUGGAAUAGGACAUCAUAGAGGGUGAGAAUCCCGUAUUUGGUCAUUCUUCCUAGCUUUGUGAUACACUUCCAACGAGUCGGAUUGUUUGGGAAUGCAGUCCAAAAUGGGUGGUAAAUUUCAUCUAAAGCUAAAUAUUGGCGAGAGACCGAUAGCGAACAAGUACCGUGAGGGAAAGAUGAAAAGAACUUUGAAAAGAGAGUUAAACAGUACGUGAAAUUGUCAAAAGGGGAGCGUUUGACACCAGUGUUGUUUUUCCGAAAAUCAAUUACGAAUGUUUUAUUUUUGAGGAGUUAUGACUUCAUCGGCUUGCUUCUCUCUUUAUGAAACUUUCUUAAUGCACUUUUCGGUUAACAAGUCAACAUCAAUUUCUUUUGUUGUAAAAGGGUAUGAGGAAGGUGGCUUUCUUUUCGGAGAAAGUGUUUAUAGCCUUGUACCUCUGCAAUCGGAGAGAUUGAGGUCUGCAGCGUAGAUCCUUCGGGGUUAGAUAGCAUUUGUGCUAAGUUAUAGCCUUUCAUAGACGACUUGUUGACUAUGAUUAGUCAUUGUAGCUUACUCGCUUACUGCUAUUUUACCUACGCUUAGGAUGUUGAUCUCUCACAGUCGAGC
rnacentral:rRNA from 1 species